rnacentral:rRNA from 1 species
AUACGGAGGAUCCGAGCGUUAUCCGGAUUUAUUGGGUUUAAAGGGUGCGCAGGCGGCCAUUUAAGUCAGCGGUUAAAUCGUGGGGCUCAACCCCAUUCUGCCGUUGAUACUGGGUGGCUUGAUUGCGGUCGAGGUUGGCGGAAUUCGUUGUGUAGCGGUGAAAUGCAUAGAUAUGACGAAGAACACCGAUUGCGUAGGCAGCUGACCAGACCGCAAAUGACGCUCAUGCACGAAAGUGCGGGGAUCGAACAGGAUUAGAUACCCUGGUAGUCCGCGCAGUAAACGAUGAAUACUUGUUUUCGGCGAUAUAAUGUCGGAGGCAAAGCGAAAGCGAUAAGUAUUCCACCUGGGGAGUACGCCGGCAACGGUGAAACUCAAAUGAAUUGGCGGGG